rnacentral:rRNA from 1 species
UACGGAGGGUGCAAGCGUUAUCCGGAUUUACUGGGUUUAAAGGGUGUGUAGGCGGACUUUUAAGUCAGCGGUGAAAUCUCCGGGCUCAACCCGGAAACUGCCAUUGAUACUAUUAGUCUUGAAUAUUGUUGAGGUAGGCGGAACGGGUCAUGUAGCGGUGAAAUGCAUAGAUAUGACCCGGAACACCGAUUGCGAAGGCAGCCUACUAAGCAAUUAUUGACGCUUAGGCACGAAAGCGUGGGGAUCAAACAGG